CAUGCUCCAAAUUAGCUCCUUGCACACCAAAUCGAAGGAUAAAGCCCAAAGCCAUGCCUGAUUUAUCCCCAAUCUCACUCCAAACCCUAGGCGCCAAACCAGCCGCCGACGUCUCUGUUCUCUGCGAGAUGAGUCGCCGGUCAAGGAGGACCUCGGCACCGACCCCUCAAGAAAUCCCGUCGGCAAGUGCCCAGCCUAUUCCGCCCUAGCUUGGUGUCCUCCACAUCCACCGUAGUUCAUGGCGCCCUCCUCCAUGCCAUACUGGUUCGCCAGGCUACAGCACCCGAGCAUGGCCGGGGCAUUGAGUCAAGGCCCUUGGUGGGCACCUGGGAGCAAUGGUCCCUCUACAAAUCAUGAAGAUUUCAAUCUGCAAGGAUGGUACGUGUCUCUCCAUAGUCUUUAUUGGUUAAUUUUCAUGUUCCUGUACGCUAACUUGUGUAUGAGUAGCAUAGCAUUCAGUUUCGAAUGAAGACACUUGCCAUUUGCAAGCAAGCAAGGAUGCAGUUUACACUAGACUAUAUUUGUUAACUACACAAUGUUAUCUUCCAGCAAUUUGUUAAGCAGACUAAAAUUCAGUCUAUAAUUACACAGGAAUUUGUUAACUACUGAUUCUGGAUACGCAAUACAAUGUUAUCUUCCAUUUGCUCUCUAAUUAGAGAUGAAGAAAAUUUAUUGUAGGACUAUUUUUGGGUAGAGUUUUAGAUUUUCACCCUCACCCACCUGGUGGCUAUGUUAAUUUGCUGGAGAAGAACACACCCAGCCAGGCACAAGUUGUAGGGAUCUCAUCGCAGCCCAUCAAUGUAUUCCAUUUGAGGUCCUUGUGAUCUGGCCAUUGCCGUGGGUGCUACUACAGUGAUUGAAGGUGGUUGGUGCGAGUGGGAUGCUGCUCCUUUAAGCGAAGAUGCAACUGUGCUAUGCUUUUAUCGUUGUCUAGGUCAAUAAGUAGCGGCUUGCAUGCCGGAAAUACUUUUAGUUGAUGUUUUUUCAUAAGACUCCUAUAUGUGUGUCGUGGUGCUAGUUAUCAGUGUGAUGUUAUCUAAAGUUAUUGUUAUCUGGGAUUUAAAAUGAACCAUGAUUCUUAUUCAUGAUGUCAUAUGGUUAUCAUUAUGUUGUGUUUGCUAAAUGGCCA